UCAUGGGCAAUGGAGGAUAUAAAAUUAAACGAAUGAAGGAACAGAAUCAUUGAAGACAUCAACGUCGUCAGCAAACAACACAACAGCUCAACCAUGAAGUUCGUCUACCUCGGCCUCGCUCUGCUUCUUGUCGCUACCUUCUCUUGCAAAGCUGAGCAUUGUCCUGACGGCUACUCGCAAACUGUCCCCGCCCACUGUCACGUGGACCAGAUUGACAGACGGAUAUGCGCCUCCGACAACGACUGUGGUGGUCAUGGCGAGAAAUGCUGUUUCCCUAACACGGGCUGCGACGCCCGGUGCGUCAAUAACUAACCUGGCACCACUGACCUCUGACCCUGCUAGAAAUGGUUGGUCAGUGAAGGCUGACAGUACACACCAAACUAUGACAUGUGGACAAAACAACACAAUGUGCUGUCACGGCAGAAUCGUGACACAUGACUUGCAGAAGGCCACCUUUCAUAAAUAUUUUUCAAGAAAAAAAA
rnacentral:lncRNA from 1 species